rnacentral:rRNA from 1 species
AUUGAACGCUGGCGGCAGGCUUAACACAUGCAUGUCGAGCGAGCGGCGGACGGGUGAGUAAUGUCUGGGAAACUGCCUGAUGGAGGGGGAAACCUACUGGAAACGGUAGCUAAUACCGCAUACCAUCAGAUGUGCACAGAUGGGAUUCGCUAGUGGGUGGGGUAAGGGUUCACCUAGGCCACGAUCCCUAGCUGGUCUGAGAGGAUGACAGGCCAAACUGUACGUGGGAAACGGUCAAGAAUCCUACGCGUGGCAGCAGUGGGUAACAUUGCACAAUGGGCGCAAGCCUGAUGAAGCAAUGCCGCUUAGGUGAAGAAGGCCUUCGGGUUGUAAAGCACUUUCCGCGAGGAGGCGUUACUCGCAGAAGAAGACCCGGCUAACUCCGUGCCAGCAGCCGCGGUAAUAC